UCCGCUGCCCUAAUACUAUGUUUCCAGCUAUAUCCAUAUUUUAUUACUAUUUUUUAUUUUUAAUUGUAUGGGUGUGUGUGCUGUAGCAAUAUAUUAAAUUUUAACUAUGAUAAAAAAAAUUGUUUAACCAAUGAGAAUACAAUUUCCUAUUCGACUAUGUUUUGCUAUGACUAUAAAUAAAGCUCAAGGCCAGACAUUAGAUUCCGUAGGAAUUUAUUUACGUGAACCUGUCUUUUCACACGGUCAAUUUUAUCUUGCUUUAUCAAGAGCAAAAAGUUCAGGCUAUGUAAAAAUGUUAAUCCGCCCUGCAACAGCAGACGACCCUGAUGACCAUUCUACCUACAAUAUAGUGUAUAAUGAAAUUAUCCACAAAGCAUUCUCUUAGGACUUUCGAAGAGCUGAGCUACUAACUACUGAUACAACAUAUGGUAUAAAAAAUAUAUGCAAACCAGCGGAAGGUUCUCACCGAAAGAUAAAAUAUUUGAACAUAAUCUUUCAAGAUGAACAGGUUUGUUGCAAAGGUGCAGAAAAGAUUGCAAGAACUCAUUCCAUCGAUACCGAGAAGAGGCUAUUAUUGAGGACGAAGGCAGGAAACUCCUUAGCCAAUUCCAAGAACGUCCUAUCAUCUUUUGCCAGGAGUAUUGGGGUAUCCAAGUACAAUAGUAUAUCGUUGACAACAAGAUUUAACACAACAAUACAAAUUGAUCCACCUUAUUCCCAAUGCCCACAACUGCACACAUGGGUCACGGAAAAUAGAGAAAUGCUUGCUUCUUUCAGUAUGAGGAGCACAUCUGAAUCUGGAUCUCUUAUCAGUGUUUAGAUGAACAAAUUGUGCCAAUUGCAAAUGUUCAAUGACAACAGGACGGGCAUUCCUUCUCCAUUGAGGCAAAAGUAUCGCUUCCAAAUAAACUCAAAAGUUGCUAUGUUUUACUAUGUCCCAACUGCAAGCAAGAAGUGAAGUUUAAUAAAAAGAAAGUUUCAGCGUACGACUUGUAAGCAACAAAAUAUGUUGAUUCCCAGAUGCCGAUUUGAUGUGAAUCUCCAAGAUGCCUCCGGCUCAACAAUUGGGAUAAUUAUGGACAAAGAAGCAGAAAAAUUAUUAUCCCUUACCACAGAAGAGAUUUACAACCUUGCUUCAACUGAGUUAUGCUGAAUAAUUUACACAUGCUCACUUUGCAAUUGAACAAACAAAAAGCUAAAAUAAAUUUCUCCCCAGGAUGAGUUGCUACCAAUGCAGAAUAUUCAAAGCAGUCGGAAUCAGAACUUUUAUAUAAUUCAAGUGAAAAAAUCAUUCUCCCGCACUUCUCAAGCAACAUUUGGGAAAUUGUACAUUUUGUCCUGCACUGAAAAAGGAAACAUGGUACAUUCUCUCCCUGAACCACCAAAAACUGACAUUGAAGAAGGCGGCAAAAGGAAAAAGAAACAUUUGAUUUCCUUUGAUGAAGAAACAAAAGUACCAAACGAGCGACGUCACUCGCUCAAGCUGAAACAAAAACUGGAGCCAACAACUCCAGUUAAAAUGAAAUAAAGGGUAACCAACUUUCUUUUGCAAUCACUUUUGGCUUUUGCGGAACAGUUCUUUUGCAGGGAAAUCAAUUCCAUUUUGCAGCUUGCUUUUGACUUUUUGUGUUACAACUAGAUAUUCCGACGACAUUUACAUCCAUCAAACAAAGAUGCGGGAAAUGCGACUGAGAUGGUUUGGACAUGUGAAGAGGAGAGACAUAGAUGCCCCAGUGCGGAGGUGUGAGAGGUUAGCCAUGGAUGGUUUCAGAAGAGGUAGGGGUAGGCCAAAGAAAUAUUGGGGAGAGGUGAUUAGACAGGACAUGACGCAGUUACAGCUUACCGAGGACAUGACAGGUGUGGAGGACCCACAUUAGGGUAGAAGGCUAGUAUAUAAGUCUCGUUAUCUUUCCUUAUUAGUAGGCGCAUUAGCGCAUUAUAAUUUCUUGUGCUUUGAUUUAUGUUAUUAUUUGCUACUUUCUGUACUUUGAUUACUCUAUUUUAUCUGUGCCGCUUUCGUGAUUUGCAUUUCCAUAUCGCUUUGAAUUCCUUGAUUAUUCUGUUUUACUGUGUCGCUUGCAUUAUUUCAUUGCAAUAUCGUUUUAAAUCUUUUAACCUUAUCUGACCCCCUUUUUAUGCUUCUAUUGAGCCGAGGGUCUCUCGGAAACAGCCAUCCUACCUUGGUAGGAGUAAGGUCUGCGUACAUUAUACCCUCCCCAGACCCCAAGAUGUGGGAUUUCACUGGGCUGUUGUUGAUGUUGUUGUAUUAAUCACUUGACGACUUCGUUAAAUAUUAGUCCAGGACAAAAAACUUCAUGAGACUGAUACUGCAUUUGGCCAGCUUAGGUUCUUUAUAUGCGUACCACAGCCGACAUGCUUUGAGGAAGAAUGCAGGGAAAUAGACAAGAAAAAUCUACAAAGGGCGCGCUUCUGCGGGAAAUUAAGGCUUCUGAUACUAGGAUCACAAGACAAGGACUAAAAGGAAAGAAAAAGAUGAGGUAAAAUCUAAAACUUAGAUGGAAGAAAGUGUCAUCGGCCUUGAGCUACUAUUUGAGUGUCUAAAGGUUCCUUGAAGUGGAUGUAGACAUGAGAAACUUCUGGUAGUCAAGAAGUGCUUUCAACUAUUAGAGUUCCUAUGCUUUAGCGGUCACUGAUACUUUUUUGAGCUUUAACUUUGCUGUUUAUCGAUUUGGUUGAAAGAUACAGACUUGAUCAAUAAUUGCUAAAUUCAAGUUUUAAAUGAACAUGACUUCUCUAUUAUUAAUCAUAUUGAAUUAUUUCUAAGAAAUUUUAUUUAUUGCAAACUAUUAAUCACUUGACGACUUCGUUAAAUAUUAGUCCAGGACAAAAAACUUCAUGAGACUGAUACUGCAGUUGGCCAGCUUAGGUAUUACUGCACUGUCAGACAAGGAAGGUUCAUAUUUCAUGCAUAAAUUUAUAUAUCUUCUCCAUCAUUUCUUAAUAUCGUGGUAUGAAGUGUCCUACUUGAGCUGCACAUUUUAAUGACAGGAGAAUGCCAUUUUUGUUUCAGGUUCUUUAUAUGCGUACCGCAGCCGACAUGCUUUGAGGAAGAAUGCCGGAAAAUAGACAAGAAAAAUCUACAAAGGUUUAUCGGGAUACUGUGCAACCAAUUAUUCCUAUUAUCUUUCAGUUCAUACCCAGAUGCAAUUUCCACAGCCGACAACAACUGGUUGAAUCCAGAUUGCACCCGCUUACACCAAGAACAUCAAGAAUUUCACAGCUUUUCUCUUUCUAGCAAGCUUGGCAAUGUAAUAAUAUAACUUUGUUCCACACAAUAUGAAGCAUAUUAUGUUAUGAGUAAUAUUUAACUUGA